rnacentral:lncRNA from 1 species
AUGGUAAAACGCAGAGAAAGAGGAAGUGAUUGGGUCAAAGGGGCCGUGGUCUCACCUAGGACUGUCCCCAAACACUUGCAAAUCCUACAGGUCUUCUUCUUUUAUUUGUGCUUCUUUCAGUGUGCUCUUCCCAUUUUGACAUUCAAGGGUAUCCAGCAAAAGAAAAAGGCACGUACAAUUAUUCAAGAAGGAUUUAUAGUAAUUCUGACAGCACAGGUUAAACAAAUAGUUAACAAAUUCAAAACAGAGCAAUUCAAAUCCUUCAUUAGAGGGCUUCAGUUCUAUUUAUGUCUGGUAAAGAAACAUUAUAGUAGUAGUUGAUUAUUUUGAUUUGGAUUAUUAACCAUUCUAAACAGCAAUCAUGACUCAAAGGAUACUAUACUUCCUUACAUGAGAGAUGUGCUACGUCACAGCACCUUUCAAAUACUGACUUUUGCUCUUUUUCUGUAAUAUAUGCCUCAGUGGUACAGAACUUUUCUGUUGUUUUUAAUCCUUUUCCUUCUGUCCUGUUCCUCUCAGAGGGGCAGCUCCUUCUCCUACCUGGUGGAGCCUUGUGUCACCUGGCUUCACUUUUUCAAUUUCAUGGUGCUUGUGCAAGAAAAAAGUCCAGUUAAUUUACUUUUCAAAACUUGAUAUAAAUCUUGGGAAAGGGAUGCUGUGUGCUUUUCCCUGGCAUUGCUCAAUGUAAGUAAAAUCCAAACUAUAUCUGAUGAUGGCAAGGGUUCAAACUCCUUGAGCAUGAAACCAUCAGAAAGUAAAACUGAGCAGGGAGAAGGCCCAAAAACAGGCAGAUGAAAUAAUAUUUGAUUAUGUUGUUUGAGUUCCUGGAUCCACCUCUGUUUAAGUGAUCCUGAGUUUUAUAUGUUUCUGCAUCUAAAUAUUUCUAAGUCACUUUUGUCUCAUGUCAUUGAAGGUGACCUUACAUGCAUAAUUAAAGUUUUAUGUAAAUAUACACAUAAUUGGUUAUGAUAAUUUAUAAGCAAAAUGUGUAAACAUGCUUCUCAGAGAACUCAAAUACUACUAAAAUCAGAAAAUGUUAGUAUUUAAAGUCUAUAUUUGGAAUAACUAAAUAAUUUUUGUCAAGAAGUUAAAUGUACAUGACCUAAAUACAACUCUGACAUUGCCGAUGAUGGUCUGGAGGUUGCAGAAUCACAGAAUUGUAUCUGGAUGCAGGUAAUUUCUAGAUCCUUCAUCACUAUUGAUUUCUAGACUUCUUUAUCUUCUUUCUUGAGUUAAUUUUGUAAACUUCAAGCUUUCUCUGUGUUGUUUCAUCCACAUUUAUUAUUGUAUCCCUUCCCCAUAUGCUGAAAACCAGAUCUCUUCCCUCGUUUGCUGAUUUCUAUAUCAGCACUAGAAACCUUUUCUUUAAAAAGUGUAAUUUGUCCCAUUAUUUCUCUGUCUCAUGUGAAAUCAUCAUUAACAGUCUUGGAUAAAUAUCAAGAGAGAAAAAAUGCAAAGAAGUAGCAGCUUGAAAACCCAUUAGUGCACAAAAUGAUGUACACUAGGGGUUAGGAACCCUACUAUGUGCUUUCUAAUAACCUAAAUAGCAACUCAGAGGAGACUGGCCAUAUAAAUUAACUCACCUCCCCUUGGUCCCUUAUUGAUCUACUUAUCCUGGGUAAUUAAAUCUAACAUUAAUGGAAUAGACCUUGAGUGGCACUCUAACUCAUUUCCCAUCUUCUUUUCUCAAAAUCUUAUUCUAGUCCUGGAGGAGCCACCUAAAUUAGUAGCACCCCACUCAAAUUCUUGGAGUUGUUAUCGAUUUCUCCAUUUCCCGAAAUACUGAUCAAACGAUUCCCCAUCUAGAUAUUAUUCCAAUCAUUUUUGUUGCUCAUCCCUGAUUCUACAAUACUCCACAUAGUUUUUCUGAAAAUUGCAGCAAUCUUUCAUUGAGCAAAUAACACUUUAUGACUUGUAGCUUCACAGAGCAUUCCCUGGAGUGGUUAGGUGCCCCUAUUAUGUGCUUUCUGAAUAACAUGUAUUUAUAUGCCAUCAUUACAUUUAAAACACAUCAAUGUAAUUUUGUGUGCGGCUCCGGAGAAAUUUUCCUUAUUGUUAUUAAUAUUCAACGUGGAAGAGCUGAGAGAACUUGAAUCUCUUCAAAACAAGACAAAGGAAAUGUAUCAUGUUUCAUUUCCAUUUUUAAGUAAUAUUUCAUAGAAGCAAAGAAAAAAUAGGAUUUAGGAAAUUUAUCUGAAUUAUCAAUUUUCUUUGGUACAUUUGAGUUAUACCUAGGCUAAGAAUUUCUUUAUGAUUUUCAGCAUUUUAAAAAUGUGUUUACCAACUGAUGGCCUAUGAGAUGACAUUCCUCCAAUUCUGUGCCUCUGUCACAUGCUCAAAUGUAAUUUUUAAGCUUCAUCUCAUAGGGCUCCGGACCCUAGGUACAGAUUGAGGCAUUGACUCUGACAGGAUCAUUGUUUUCCAAGAACCUCCUCUUCUUGUUGUGCCCUUCCACCUUCCUUAGCGGGAAGCCAACUCCACUAUCACAUUCUCUGCUCCUGUUCCUGUUCCCCCUUUUUGCCUAAAGUCUACGCUCUUGGUUACAUCUUCUAUAAAUCACUCUGUGUCCUUAUAUUCUGAUUUGUUUUCCUCAAAAUUAUGACAAUUAAGUGGCAUCAUUCAACUUACUAUUUAGUUGAUUACUGCCAUUAUCACUACUAAAAUCUAAACCCCUCAAUUCACAGGCUGUUGUAUUCCCUAUUUAUUCAGAGUUCAGAAAAUGAUUUGAGUAUGCCUCCCAUAGCUACCUUUAAAAUAAAUAA